GACGAACGUUGGCGGCGUGCCUAACACAUGCAAGUCGAGGGGUAGCAAUACCACUGGCGCACGGGUGAGUAACGCGUAGAUCAUCUGCCCCUAUCACAGACAUAACGUCGGGAAACUGACGCUAAUAUCUGAUGAGGCAAUUUAUUGUCAAAGGAGCGAUCCGGAUAGGGAUGAGUCUGCGUCUGAUUAGCUUGUUGGUAGUGUAACGGGCUACCAAGGCGAUGAUCAGUAACUGGUCUGAGAGGACGAUCAGUCACACUGGAACUGAGACACGGUCCAGACUCCUACGGGAGGCAGCAGUGAGGAAUAUUGGUCAAUGGGGGCAACCCUGAACCAGCGACGCCGCGUGAAGGAUGACAGGGCUUUGCCCCGUAAACUUCUGUCGGGAGGGAAAAAAGGACUAGUUUGGCGGUCUGGGAUUGUACCUCUAAAGGAAGCACCGGCUAACUACGUGCCAGCAGCCGCGGUAAU
rnacentral:rRNA from 1 species